UUGAACACUCACUUUGUAGUAGUAGUAGUAAUUCUUCUAAAAUUAUCAAAAGGAAAAGAUAAAUUAUGUAUACUACCGAGCAACAAUUAUCUACCUACACAACCGUUUGCGACUUGUUAAAGUGCCGUUAUUUCUAGUUAGCUAGCUUUAUUUAAUUAUGAACUUCUAUUCUCUCUAUGUUGUGGGCUUUAGAAGUGGGGGCAUAGUUGGUUGGGAGGGAAGUAUCUUUGGUCGAAUGAAAGGUAAGAGUUUUAUCUUUACUUGUUUGGGAUGCUCCACUUAUCUUAUCAUGUCUUACCUUGUUUCUUUAGCUGAAUGAGCAAUUUUGAAAGACCUGUUCUUCGCUGCUUGAGCUGUGUCUUUCGUGCAUUCCAUUAUUUGACAAACCUUCGCCUGUAUCUCACCAGGUGUUGUGACAUCGUACCCAAAAUAUUGCUUUCCUGAACUUGAGGAAAAGUGAAUCCAGAUGAAGUUGUUGUUUAAGUUGGUCGAUAUCGUAAUUAUUGACGUAACUUGUAUUUGAAGUGUCUUAUCAGUGAAUUCUAUUAUUUUAUUCUACAAUAAUUAACCUCCAAAGAGGCUGCUGCCACACACCAGAAAAAUCACAAUAGAUUCCACAAAGAAGCUGUCCGAAUAAAAUUAUGGAAUCAUAUGCUUGGAAUUUGUUGUUUAUCAGUGUUCAAAAUCUUUUUAUCUUCAGAUGGGAGUUCGUGAAAGUUAUCCAACUUCAAGGCCAUACAACCUCAAGAUCACAAAUUCAUAUGUAGGUGAUUUCAAAGACAUUAUUAGACGAAAAGUAACAAAACUUACUCGAAGACAUUAUUCAAUAGUUUGAUUCAUAUAAGUUUAUGUUUAUAAGUUGUGACAUUCAUAUUUUGGA